CAGAAUAUCCAAUUGAAGUGUCCGAAUCCAUAAAAGAAAAAAGGACUUAACAAGCUUAAGCACUCGAGUAACCAAAAAAACAAGACAAAAACCUCUUGAUGAUCACCAUUUUCUUUGAGGCUCUCUCUACGGCUUCCAAGUUGACCAAGGAUGCAAAGAUCAUCUGCCUUUGUUUGCUUAGAAUGAAUCCUUAACGUCAGUGUCUAAAACCUCUCAUUUCAAGUGCUAUAUAUCAAGGGUUUGGAAACUUUGGGCAAUUCAAAUAUGUAUUCUGAAUAUGGCUCCUCUAGGUAUCAAAACUUACUUCAUGAGUCCGGAAAACAGUGGUGAAAGCAUUUAGCUCCAUCCAUCGCAUGAGCAACUCUUCACUUCGGUGGUACUUAAUAAAAGGUACAAGGAAUACCUGCAACCAAAAGGCUGAAACAGGAACCUUAUGAUCCUUCAAUUCAUCCCAAACACGGCGUACAGCUUCUGUACCACCUUGCAUUCCAACAACAGCCCCGGAUACAAUCCACUUAGGAAGCUCAGGAGGUCUCCCGAUAGUUUCUGUGAAGUUUUCAAUAAUCUCAGAAGGUGAGUUGCCAUUCAAUAUUCUUCCUCGAACUGAAUUGCUCUGAAUCUGCAAGCUCCAAUAUACAGAAAAUAGGAAACUGCAAGUUUAAACCCUGAAUGAGUAUGUUCAGUACUUGAAAUAUUUUCCUCUCCAUUUAAAUUUUGAUUGUUUUAUUCAAGUGCAACUUAAGUUUGUAAAGGAAACUUUUUAUUCAAUGAAAAUUUCUGUUAACUGUGUA